rnacentral:rRNA from 1 species
UCCAAACUGCAUUUGAAACUGUCGGUCUUGAGUAUCGGAGAGGUAACCGGAAUUCCUAGUGUAGCGGUGAAAUGCGUAGAUAUUAGGAAGAACACCAGUGGCGAAGGCAGCUCACUGGACUGCAGCUGACACUGAUGCUCGAAAGUGUGGGUAUCAAACAGGAUUAGAUACCCUGGUAGUCCACACAGUAAACGAUGAAUACUCGCUGUUUGCGAUAUACAGUAAGCGGCCAAGCGAAAGCAUUAAGUAUUCCACCUGGGGAGUACGCCGGCAACGGUGAAACUCAAAGGAAUUGACGGGGGCCCGCACAAGCGGAGGAACAUGUGGUUUAAUUCGAUGAUACGCGAGGAACCUUACCCGGGCUUAAAUUGCAGUGGAAUGAUGUGGAAACAUGUCAGUGAGCAAUCACCGCUGUGAAGGUGCUGCAUGGUUGUCGUCAGCUCGUGCCGUGAGGUGUCGGCUUAAGUGCCAUAACGAGCGCAACCCUUAUCUUCAGUUACUAACAGGUCAUGCUGAGGACUCUGGAGAGACUGCCGUCGUAAGAUGUGAGGAAGGUGGGGAUGACGUCAAAUCAGCACGGCCCUUACGUCCGGGGCUACACACGUGUUACAAUGGGGGGUACAGAAGGCAGCUAGCGGGUGACCGUAUGCUAAUCCCAAAAUCCUCUCUCAGUUCGGAUCGAAGUCUGCAACCCGACUUCGUGAAGCUGGAUUCGCUAGUAAUCGCGCAUCAGCCACGGCGCGGUGAAUACGUUCCCNNNNCUUGUACACACCGCCCGUCAAGCCAUGGGAGCCGGNNNNNNCUGAAGUACGUAAGCGCAAGGAUCGUCCUAGGGUAAAACUGGUGACUGGGGAUAGGUCGUAACAAGGUAACCA